rnacentral:rRNA from 1 species
GAUGAACGCUGGCGGCGUGCUUAACACAUGCAAGUCGAACGGUCGUAGCAAUACGAUAGUGGCGCACGGGUGAGGAACACGUAGCUAACCUGCCCCCAAGUACGGGAUAACUUCCCGAAAGGGAUGCUAAUACCGUAUAAGCUCACGCCGAGUAGGUAGGUGUGAGAAAGGUUUACUGCUUGGGGAGGGGGCUGCGGCCCAUCAGGUAGUUGGUGAGGUAACGGCUCACCAAGCCGACGACGGGUAGGGGGUCUGAGAGGAUGGCCCCCCCACACUGGGACUGAGACACGGCCCAGACUCCUACGGGAGGCAGCAGUGAGGGAUAUUGCGCAAUGGGGGAAACCCUGACGCAGCGACGCCGCGUGGGUGAUGAAGGCCUUCGGGUCGUAAACCCUUUUGCCACUGACGAGGAAGGACGGUAGGUGGCGAAUAAGCCUCGGCUAACUACGUCGCCGAGCGACGCC